UACGUAGGUGGCAAGCGUUGUCCGGAUUUAUUGGGUUUAAAGGGUGCGUAGGCGGCCAAAUAAGUCAGUGCUGAAAUAUCCCGGCUUAACCGGGAGGGUGGUAUUGAUACUGUGUGGCUAGAGUAAAGUUGAGGUAGGCGGAAUUGACGGUGUAGCGGUGAAAUGCACAGAUAUCGUCAAGAACUCCGAUAGCGUAGGCAGCUUACUAAGCUUAAACUGACGCUGAUGCACGAAAGUGUGGGGAUCAAACAGG
rnacentral:rRNA from 1 species